AAUCGAUUCACAGACCUCAACUACUGCUGUUUCUACUUUUCCGAGCACAAAAUUACCAAGUAGUGCAUCAUCUACACAAAUUCCAUUGACAACAACAACAACAAUAAAAGCAUCUAGUGAAAAAUCGUCUAUUAAAACUACAUACGUUCCACCCCCAUGGAUGGUAAAGGGAACUAAACCACCCAGUUCAACAACAAAAACUCCACAGGUUUCACCAGCAUGCAACACUUCUUCGUGCAGGAAAGAUGUAUCCCUAUUCAAUCAAGAUGGAUCGUUAAAAGACAUGUCUGCUUACGGAUUUUGGGUGGAAAUGUGUGGAAAGUUGAUUCUAUUCGGCAGAAGAUUUGUUAACUGGGAGCAAAACGUUGAGGAAUGUUGUAAAAUCGGAAUGGCACCUAUGAGUAUCGAGCUGGAGACAAACGUGAAUUGUCUUAGUUCUUUAUUUGAAGAAGAAAGUUUGAACAG